rnacentral:lncRNA from 1 species
UGCGGUAUUCCUGACUGAAUCAAGAUACGCUGGGGAAGAGGCAUCUGAAGAUAGCCCGGGUUCUGACCUCGGCCCUGCUGCCUAACUGCCUGGUGACUUCAGCGCAAGGCCUCGCUGAAGCGAACCCAUCGUGGGAAGGGCGCGGAGAAAGCGGGGAGAAAGAGCAGGGGGACGUCGGGCCUGCGCCUGGCACCGCCGCUACCUGGAUUCGCGGGCCCCUCACACACUCACCUGCCGGUAUUCUAAUCACAGAAUUACUGGAGCAUCAAGAAGUGCCUGCAUGCUUGGAAGGGCUUCCAGGCAGAUGAACACACCUCAGCACCGGGUGGCAUUUUCCCAGGGUGCAACCCGGACCGGCUCUGGGUCACACUGACAAGGACAACAGGGUUAACAAUUUCCAGAGACAGCCCGUACAUAGAAGGAAUGUUUACUGAAAAAAAUGAAGAGGGGUCAGGGCAAGGCGAGGAGCAAGAAGCACCCCCAAGGAAACAGAGAAGACCAGUACAA